rnacentral:tRNA from 2 species
UGCCCCGUCGUCUAGCGGCCAAGGAUGCCGGGCCUUGGCCCCGGUAACGAGCGUUCGAAUCGCUCCGGGGCAA